UACGAGUGCCUCAAGCGUUAUCCGGAAUUAUUGGGCGUAAAGGGUGCGUAGGCGGUUCUGUUAGUCUCGCGUUAAAUUCUUCGGCUUAACCGGGGGCAUGCGCGGGAAACGGCAGGACUAGAAGGUGCGAGGGGUCUCUGGAACUCAUGGUGUAGCGGUGAAAUGCGUAGAUAUCGGGAGGAACACCAGUGGCGAAGACGAUCAUCUGGGGUUGUUCUGACACUGAGGAGCGAAAGCUAGGGGAGCAAACGGG
rnacentral:rRNA from 1 species